rnacentral:lncRNA from 1 species
UCCUCUCUCUCUUUACAUAAAUGUAAAUAUACAUGCAUUCAUCCACCGAGCCUCUUUUCAACUUACCUAUUUCAUAUCAUAUUUUAAUUAUAAUAUUUUUAUUAAAUAAGUAAAUUAUACCAUUACUUUCUGAAUUUUUGACGGAGUUUUACUUUAUCCUCUAAAUUUCUAAAAUACACAUCUAACACCUGAACUCUAAUAUUCCAUUCAUAUUACCCCUUUCGUUUAUUUUUCGUCAAACUUCGUUAACCGAAAAUUGAUGUAAGGGUAAUAUGAAUGAAAUAUUAGAGUUUAAGAUAUCAGGUGUCCAUUUUAUAAGUUUAGGAGGUAAAGUGAAAUUCUACUAAAAAUUUAGAAGGUAAUAGAAUGUUGAUGCCAAAAUUGAAAUUAACAUGCCGACCUAACCCACGUAUGAGCCAAUAAGGACACGUGGUACACCAGGAGUCGGCAAUAAGACGCCGGAAGGUUUUAGGCGGAAUGGUUGAGAAGUGGGGCGUAACAUUCACGAUGGGGCGUAAC